rnacentral:rRNA from 1 species
CAUGUCUUUUUGAUUAUAAUUUAAAGUCUAAUCUGCCCACUGAAAUUUUAAAUGGCCGCAGUAUUUUGACUGUGCUAAGGUAGCAUAAUCAAUAGUUUCUUAAUUAGAAGCUGGAAUGAAUGAUUGGAUGAGAUAAAAACUGUCUUAAUUUUAAUUAUUAAAAUUUUAUUUUUAAGUAAAAAAGCUUAAAUAAUUUUAAAAGACGAGAAGACCCUAUAGAGUUUAAUAAUUUUAUUAUAAUAAAAUUAUUAUAUUAAUAUUUUAUUAUAAUAAAAUUAUUUUGUUGGGGUGAUAGAAAAAUUUAAUUAACUUUUUUUUUAUUUUAACAUAAAUUUAUGAAUUAAUGAUCCAUUGAUAAUGAUUAUAAGAUUAAAUUACCUUAGGGAUAACAGCGUAAUUUUUUUUAAGAGUUCAAAUCGAAAAAGAAGAUUGCGACCUCGAUGUUGGAUUAAAGUUAAGUUUUGGUGUAGAAGCUAAAAUUUUAAGUCUGUUCGACUUUUAAAACUUUACAUGAUCUGAGU